AGUGAACGCUGGCGGUAGGCCUAACACAUGCAAGUCGAACGGCAGCACAGUAAGAGCUUGCUCUUACGGGUGGCGAGUGGCGGACGGGUGAGGAAUACAUCGGAAUCUACUUUUUCGUGGGGGAUAACGUAGGGAAACUUACGCUAAUACCGCAUACGACCUACGGGUGAAAGCAGGGGAUCUUCGGACCUUGCGCGUUUGAAUGAGCCGAUGUCGGAUUAGCUAGUUGGCGGGGUAAAGGCCCACCAAGGCGACGAUCCGUAGCUGGUCUGAGAGGAUGAUCAGCCACACUGGAACUGAGACACGGUCCAGACUCCUAAGGGAGGCAGCAGUGGGGAAUAUUGGACAAUGGGCGCAAGCCUGAUCCAGCCAUACCGCGUGGGUGAAGAAGGCCUUCGGGUUGUAAAGCCCUUUUGUUGGGAAAGAAAAGCAGCAGGUUAAUACCCCGCUGUUCUGACGGUACCCAAAGAAUAAGCACCGGCUAACUUCGUG
rnacentral:rRNA from 1 species